UUUCAUUCGGAACGUCGCCGUUAAAGGCGUUUGAACCUGGAAGGGCAACCUUGUAACUAUCAAGUAUCAUACACGGUCCGAGCAUACGCGGGCAUCACCUAUACUCUGGCCAAAGGAACAAUGGAAGACGGUGAGAUUGACGAGGGGGGCCAGGGAGCGAUGGUGGUAGACGAGGAAGAACCGCUGUCAGCACCGCAACAGCGCAAGGUGGAGAAGUCGGCGCACGAAAUGCUGCGAGAGAGCAAAGCCUCGGUGGAGGAAAUCGUGGCCAAGAUGCUCUCCGUCAAGAAAGAAGGCCACCCCAAAUCUCUUCUCCGAGAGCUCGUUACUCAGAUGUUCCUUCACUUCAUCACCCUCCGCCAGGCAAACCGUUCGAUCUUGCUAGAAGAAGAUCGUGUGAAAGCAGAAACAGAGCGUGCAAAGGCACCGGUGGACUUCACUACCCUCCAGCUUCACAAUUUGAUGUACGAAAAAAGUCACUAUGUUAAAGCAAUAAAGGCUUGCAAAGAUUUCAGGUCAAAAUAUCCUGAUAUCGAUCUGGUAUCUGAGGAAGAGUUUUUCCGUGAUGCACCUGAAGAGAUUAAAGCCAAGACGUUGUCCAAUGACAGUGCGCACAAUCUGAUGAUGCAGAGGCUCCAAUUUGAGCUGUUCCAGCGAAAAGAGCUAUGCAAACUUCAAGAGAAACUUGAAAUACAAAAGAAAAAACUUUUGGAUACAAUUGCAAACCGCAAGAAAUUCUUGUCAAGUCUACCCUCACAUCUUAAGUCUCUUAAGAAAGCAUCCUUGCCGGUACAGAACCAGUUUGGGAUUCUGCAUACGAAAAAAAUUAAGCAGCACCAUUUGGCAGAGUUGCUUCCACCUUCUCUCUAUGUGAUUUACUCAGAGUUCUUGGCACAGAAGGAAGCUUUUGGUGAAAAUAUCGAUUUGGAGAUUGUAGGAAGUGUGAAAGAUGCUCAAGCUUUUGCUCGCCAGCAAGCAAAUAAGGACACUGGCAUAUCUACCAGUGUAGAGAAUUCUAGAUUGGAGGAUGAUGCACCCGAUGAGGAAGAUGAUGGCCAAAGGAGGAGAAAGCGGCCAAAGAGGGUUCCAAGCAAGGAGAGCCUUGACCAGGAUGGAGUAUAUCAAGUUCAUCCACUUAAAAUCAUCGUUCAUGUUUAUGAUGAUGGGAUUUCUGAUCCUAAGUCUGCAAAAAUGAUCACUCUGAAGUUUGAAUACUUGUUAAAGUUGAAUGUGGUAUGUGUCGGGAUUGAAGGGUCCCAUGACAGAGCUGAGAAUAACAUCUUAUGCAACUUAUUCCCUGAUGACACUGGCAUUGAGCUUCCUCACCAGUCAGCCAAGCUCUGUGUUGGUGAUGCCCUUGCAUUUGAUGAAAGGAGAGUAUCACGGCCAUAUAAGUGGGCCCAGCAUUUGGCAGGGAUUGAUUUUUUGCCAGAGGUGUCACCAUUGCUUACUAGCCAUGGAACCCAAAGUGGUGAAACAGCUAAAAGUGAGGCUGUUGUAUCUGGUCUUUCACUGUAUCGCCAGCAGAACCGCGUCCAGACGGUUGUGCAAAGAAUUCGCUCUCGGAAAAAGGCUCAGCUGGCUCUUGUGGCACAGCUUGAUUUGCUUAUGAAGCUUAAGUGGCCUGCUCUAAGUUGUGAAAGUGUUCCUUGGGCUUUGCAUAACCCUUUGUGCAAUUUGCAUGGUUGGUCGCCUGUAGGACCCCCACCCAUUCAGGCUUUAUCUUUGCCCAUUAUAGAUACAGAGCAAGUUCGGGAAUCUAUAGAUGCUGAUAUGAUUGAACAACCUGGUACUUCAAAGGAAGAGCUAGAAGGUACAAGGGAAGAUGGGGAGCUUCCAUCUUUGGUUCCUGCUGCAUUUGUCAAUAGUGAUGUUAAACUUAAUCGCUCAAAGGGAUCUAAUCUUGAGCAUUCCAGGCAGCUUACUUUAAUUUCAAAAAGCCUUGGAUCUCCAAUCAGCGUGGCAAAAUCACAAAGUUUCAAGAAACCUGAUGAGUAUUUGGAUCUGAUAUUGGAUACUGAUAGUGAUCAGGAUGCACCUGCAUAUGUUGAGCCUGAGGUAGAAAAUACUGCUUUUACUCAAUAUUAUGAGACGGACAAUGAGUCAUGGGUGGAUUAUGGGGUGAGGGAAUUUUGUCUUGUUUUAACCAAGAACACGGAUACUGACAAGAGCCUUUGGAAGUUAGAAGCCAAGAUCAAGAUCAGCAUGGAAUAUCCUUUAAGGCCUCCUCAUUUUGCAUUGAGUCUUCACGCUAAAUCUUCUGGAGAAAAUCAUUCUGAGAGUGAUGGUUUGGAGUGGCAUAAUGAACUUUGCGCUAUUGAAGCUGAGGUCAAUCUUCACAUAUUAAAGAUGCUACCUGCGGAUCAAGGAAAUUAUAUUUUGUCUCAUCAAGUUCGUUGUCUUGCAAUGUUGCUUGACUACUACAUGGAUGAGACAUUCCCAUCCUCUGAAAAGAGAAACAGUACGUCUGUGGUUGAUGUUGGUUUGUCUAAUCCCGUCAGUGGCAGGCUUCUUGCCAGAUCAUUUAGAGGAAGGGAUCGUAGGAAGAUGAUAUCAUGGAAGGAUAUUGGAUGCACUCAUGGCUAUCCUUACUAGGAGGUUUCUAUUUGGGAUCUGGAGGCACUGCCUGUAAGCCACGAGGUUUCUAUUCUCGACGCGCGAUCGUAAUAAGUCAGCUGAAUGUGGUCUUUUGUAGGUACCCGGCCACCCAAAAAAAGAAAAAAACUGAAACCGACCUGAGCCGAUCGAGUUAGGAGCUCUCUAGACAUUUUUAUGCCACUGAGACAGGCUGAUGAAACUUCGUCGUAUUGGUUUGGGUGAAGAAAUGAAUCAAGACGUAGAGUGUGGCAUGGGAAAGCGGCACAGCCGGCACAAGUGACUGUCCUUCAGCCAGCGGACAAUACAAUCUUUGUGAUACACAUGCUGACAUGGCAUACGUAUAAGCUGAUCUGCCACCUCCAAACAAUCGGAAAACUCGUCAAAGCACACCAUACAACAUGACGCCACCGACUCCACACAGCUUUUCAACGUCACUGCCUCCAAUGCCUCAUUCAACUCGGCCCUCGCGCUUACACCCUUAAACACAUUAUUCUCUUCAAUCGACUCUUGCAUUAUCGCUCGCUCUUCUUCUUUUUCCUCAUCCUCCUCGUCCGUGUACGCGUAUAGUGUUCGUCUUUGCCACCACCGUAUAACCUGAACAGCCAUGCCUAUGUGCACCGUGCGCGAUGGCGUCAAGCCAGUCAUUUUGGUAUCGUCUUGGGACUCUUUGUUUACUACGUCCUACAUGGAACUCUGUUUCAAAUAGUUUCCGCUUCAUUUCUUAAACCACGCGAUAGACCUCUUCCGAGUUCAGGCUAUCGAGCACGUCAAAGGAAACAUAGCAGACUCGGAUGUGGAAGCACUGAUUGUCGCUCGCAUGCAUGCAGUUGUCCUCGUUUGGCAAGGUAUCGUCGUUGCUGCCAAACCUUGCACCUGUAUCGGUAUUUGCUCCUACGACAACAUCGAGCGGUGGAUGCUAUUAGUGAUUUGGUAUUUGCGAAGAAGCGUGUAAGAUUGUGGAAAGAAAUCAUUGCGAAAUUGUAGUUCUUGGACAACUUGAUUCUCAGCCUACAAAAUGAGAAAAAAGCUACUGGACGAAUUUUUCUGAA